rnacentral:ncRNA from 2 species
AAAAAUAUUUAAAGAAUAGGUGCUAAAAUCUUAUUCAAGAUUUUAAGCUUAAAAGGGAAGUUUGGUGUAAAGCCAACGCGGUCCCGCCACUGUAAAUGGGAGCUACCUAUAGAAUGUCACUGUCGUUUUGAUGGGAAGACAUAGGAAGCUAUGAACAUGAGCCAGGAAACCUGCCUAUUUAUUUGCGCCAAA